rnacentral:misc_RNA from 1 species
UCCAGCUUAUCGCUGGCGGUCUCCUGAGAGUGCUUCCCUUGCGGGUAGCAACUACGAGUAAGGGUUGCGCUCGUUGCGGGACUUAACCCAACACCUCACGGCACGAGCUGACGACAGCCAUGCAGCACCUCUACUACGGUCCCUUGCGGGAAGACGAUAUUUCUACCGUUGGUCCGUAGCGGUUCAAGCCCAGGUAAGGUUCUUCGCGUUGCGUCGAAUUGAACCACAUGUUCCACCGCUUGUGCGGGCCCCCGUCAAUUCCUUUGAGUUUCAGUCUUGCGACCGUACUCCCCAGGCGCAGAACUUAACGCGUUAGCUACGGGACGACCCGCCUACGCGGGCCACCCCAAGUUCUGAUGGUUUAGGGCUAGGACUAC